CGUCAAGAAGCUAAAUAUGGGGAAUAGCGUUAGCCUUUUAAGCUAAAGAAUGGUGCCUCCCGACCACCCUUGAUGA
rnacentral:tRNA from 1 species